AUUGAACGCUAGCGGGAUGCCUUACACAUGCAAGUCGAACGAGUGGCGAACGGGUGAGUAAUGUAUCGGAACGUGCCCAGUAGCGGGGGAUAACUACGCGAAAGCGUAGCUAAUACCGCAUACCAUCAGAUGAACCCAUAUGGGAUUAGCUAGGAGGUAAGGUAACGGCUUACCUAGGCGACGAUCCCUAGCUGGUCUGAGAGGAUGAUCAGCCACACUGGAACUGAGACACGGCCCAGACUCCUACGGGAGGCAGCAGUGGGGAAUAUUGCACAAUGGGCGAAAGCCUGAUGCAGCCAUGCCGCGUGUAUGAAGAAGGCCUUCGGGUUGUAAAGUACUUUCAGUCGGGAGGCGUUACCGACAGAAGAAGCACCGGCUAACUCCGUGCCAGCAGCCGCGGUAAUAC
rnacentral:rRNA from 1 species